rfam:Setaria italica strain Yugu1 chromosome IV, whole genome shotgun sequence.
AGAACGGUUUUAUUAAAAACCAUUCACUCAUCCUUUGAUCAGCUA